CGCCGCGGCGCACGGUUUGCUGGCGCUCCUCUGCGCGUCACAGCGAAAUGACACUAUAGAGUCGCUCCCUGCCUGUUGGCUUAAACGAGCAGCGCGCACCACGACUCCCAGGGACGCACCAGUGUGGAGGACAUGGGACAAACGCUCCUACUGUGUAACACUACUCCUAUUGGCAGCGAGGAAUAAAAGAGCUCAUUGGAGCAGCAUCGCUGACAUGGAUCAGGACCGUAAAGAAGCUCCGCAUACUUUCCAACCUUGAAACGCCGCUCCGCCCCAAAGAUGUGAUUUGCACAGCAAGAGGCCCCACAGUAAACAGAGGGAGCAGACGCACUGCUCAAGGGCUCCUCAUUCAUCUCGACAUCCCAAG
ensembl:lncRNA